rnacentral:lncRNA from 1 species
CGGCGAGUGCCAUUGAGAGAAAAUCUUGUUGCUGUUCACGUUUUGGGUCUAUACCAACUUUAUGAGCUGUAACACUCACGGCGAAGGUCUGCAGCUUCACUCCUGAAGCCAGCGAGACCACGAACCCACCAGAAGGAAGAAACUCCAAACACAUCUGAAUGUCAGAAGGAACCAACUCCCGACACACCAUCUUAAGAACUGUAACACUCACUGCAAGGGUCCGUGGCUUCAUUCUUGAAGUCAUCGAGACCGAAAACCCACCAAUUCCGGACACACUGGGAUUUAGAGAAGUGACCAGGAUUUCUUCAGACCACCUGAGGCCAUUGGCAAUGGACACCUAGCCACGUUUAACCUUUUCACACAAAGUGAGCAUCAGUAGACUAACCCUAGGAGGUUUCGGGUGGACACUGACAGGUGUUGGGCAUGUCCUUAUAACUGGAAUUAUUGACAAUAUCUUUCAAAAACUAUCUGUGCAACAAGGAGCCAGGUGAAGAUUUGGCAACUACAGUACCUCGCAGAUUCAAUCAAAGUCGAUGAAGUAUGUCUUCUUGCCUAAAUAACCCAGUGUGGUUUUGAACGCUGAAUCCAUUAACCAAGUAGAUCCUUCCACUUUCAUUCUCUCUAAAUUGUGUAUCUUCAUAGCAAAUGAUUUCCUUUUGAGAUGACUUGUGUUCUUUAACUUUACAGGAAAGAUGUGCAGUAGUUCCCGUGUUCCAAAGUUUCACUUUCCGUGCUUCUAGUUACCCACUGUCAUGUACAAUCCAAAAACAUGACCUAUGAUAGGUGGCUUUGAGAGAAAGAAAGAGGCCACAUUCACGUAAUUUUUUUUUUUUUUUUUUUUUUUUUUGAGAAGGAGUCUUGCUCUGUCGCCCAGGCUGGAGUGCAGUGGUGUGAUCUCAGCUCACUGCAAGCUCUGCCUCCCUGGUUCACCCCUAUUCUCCCACCUCAGCCUCCCAAGUAGCUGGGACUACAGGUGCCCGCCACCACGCCCGGCUGAUUUUGUUUUUGUGUUUUUAGUAGAGGCAGGGUUUCACCAUGUUAGCCAGGAUGGUUUCGAUCUCCUGACCUCAUGAUCCGCCUGCCUUGGCCUCCCAAAGUGCUGGGAUUACAGGCGUGAGCCACCGCCCCCGGCCCACGUAACUUUUAUUACAGCAUAUUGUUAUCAUUGUUUUAUUUUAUUAUUAGUUGUGGUUGUGAAUCCCAUACUGUGCAUAGGUGUAUGUGUACAGUUUAGGAAAAAACACAGUAUAUAUAGAGCCCAGUAUUAUCGGCAGUCUCAGGCAUCUACUGGGGAUCUUGGAGCGUAUCCCCCACAGGUAAGGGGGACUACUGUAUACACUUCAUAUAUUUGCUUUUUUAGAAACAUCUUCUAGAGUAAAUGAAUGAAUCCUUACAGCCUUUUACAUCGUGUGUUUCAUCCUCCUUGCCUGCAAAGCAACGCAGAAUUUCUGCUAAUUAAGGUAGCUCUAAAUGUGCUGUUUAGAACUGUAAAGAUUAAUUGUAGUAAUUAUGCUUAAUUGUGCCAGUGGGUAAAGGUAGUGGGGAGGACGGGUGGAAGGGGAGGGGAAAAGUCAGUGUCUCUGCCCUCAGCUGGGGGAGGCUGACUUUCUCAGUUGGCAGACACACCUUCUGAAACAGACAGAUGUGGGCAAGGCCCCCUUUUCCAAAGCAGAGGGAAGCAGCCCAUGACUUUGCUCUAGCCGAGCCUGUCUCCACUGUACUCGUCAGAAACACUCUGCCAAGUCAGCCUCUGCGACUCUGUCUUGGGCAAGUUAGCUUUGGUGGUUUCACCUGCACAUUGAGACAUUGGGCGUCAAGGGGAGACCCCUCACGUGGGGCUGUGUCUGGAGCUAGUUGUGCGAUUACAGGAAUGACUGACUCACAUUCCCACCCCUCCCCCAGUGCAAUGGAGACUUCACAGCUUCAGCCUUUUAGUGUCAAGGUUCUGGUAUCUUGAGGCUCUGGUCUUGCACCAGUUUCGGUGAUUUUGCACCCAUUUCUCAGCAUGUUGUUUCUACUUCUAGUAUUGAUGAAGCAAGUAUUUCACAAGACGCUUCAAAGUCACAGUCUCCCCAUUGAGGGGUCAGGCACGGUGGUGGCUGCAAAAGGCACGGAGGUCCGUGCUGACCUGGAGAUGGAUGGGUGCCUCUGAGUCUUCAUGGUAGAUGGAGUGCGUCUAUGCGAGAGGUGCUUUGUCCUGGAAAGUUGCUGAAAGGGGGAAGAAAGGAGGCUGGGGGUGGAGUAGGGAAGGGAAGCGUGUCUCAGGGCAGUACCAAGGGUCCAGGUGCACCUGAAGCAGGAAACCAAGGCAGCUCUCUGCUGAGCGUCUGAUCAAACCAUGGUGAUCUCACUUUAUACCAAUGAUUGUUAUUUCUACCAUACACAGUCAUACGCUAUAAUUGCCAAAAAUGUAGAACUGAAACAACAAAACAAUGGAUUUGCAAAGAACCAAUAAAAUCAAACUUUUUGUGCCA